GUGCUGGGACUACAGGCGUGAGCCUCUGUGUCCAAAGUUUUGAUUUCUUAUCAUUUUUAUGUGUCUUGACAUAUUUUCUUCUGUUAAUUCCUGCAUCCAUAAGUGUGAAUUUUAUUUCACUAAGAUUAGUAAACAGCCAUUUCAAAACUUGGCUCUCUGAAAGUAUAUACACCAAAAUGUUAUCAAUGAUGACUCCUUCAGGAUCAGGAGGGAGAUGAAGAGGAAUUUUAUGUGUUUUUUUUGUUUUUGUUUUCCUGAGAUAAGGCCUCACUCUGUCACCCAGGCUAGAGUGCAUUGGUGCAAUCACAGCUCACUGCAGCCUCAACCUCCAGGGUUCAAGUGAUCCUCCCAGCUCAGCCUCCCAUAUAGCUGAGAAUACCGGCAUGCAUCACUAUGCAAUGCUUUUCUAAAAAUUAUUUUUUGUAGAGAUGGGGUCUCACUAUGUUGCUCAGGCUGGUCUCCAACUCCUGGGCUCAAGUGAUCCUCCCACCUCAGCCUCCCAAAGUGCUGGGAUUAUAGGCAUGAGCUGCCACGCCCUGCCAGAACUUCAUGUUUUAUUUUAUAUACAUCCGUAUUGUUUAAAUGUUCACAAGAAUGCAUAGGUUGGGCGCAGUGGUUCAGGCCUGUAAUCCCAACACUUUGGGAGGCCGAUGGGGGUGGAUUGCUUUGAGCUCAGGAGUUCGAGACCUGCCUGGGCAACAGGGCAAAACUCCAUCUCUACAAAGAAUACAAAAAUUAGCUGGGCAUGGUGGUGCAAAUCUGUGGUCCCAGCUACUUGGGAGGCUGAGGUGGGGGGAUCACUUGAGCCUGGGAGGUGGAGGUUGCAGUAAGCCGAGAUCACACCACUGCACUCCAGCCUGGGCAACAGAGUGAGACCCCAUCCCCCAAAAUAAAUGAAUGAAGGAAUGUUCACAAGAGAGCUUUGGUUUGAGGAGGUGGUGUAUUUUUUGUUUUCUUUUCAUUAAGCUGCUUCUUAGUCAGUUUUUGCUGCAGUAACAAACAACCCCAACAUUCCAGUGGCUUACAACAUACAUUUGUUCCUCAUAUUACAUGAGGGCUGAGGGUGGGCCAGAGGGUGAGCAAGCCUCCAGCAUCAGAGAUCUGCAAAUACAUGCUCAGGCUCUGCUGCCCUGGUCCUAUGUGAUCCUGGCUCACCGGGGCUUGUUCUUGGCUCCAAUCCUGACUGCAGUCCCCUCCUGUGACCUCGCCUGCAUCGGUGACUUCCGCAUCUCCCAGCAUUCAGACCUUGGCUGUCCUCUGGUUUCCCUGGCUCAGCGCACCCUGCCCUGGCCCUGACUCCUUGGUGUCCCUAUGACUCAAGACUCUGGCUCCCUGCCCCCAGGACCCCACCCUGCCCAUGUUCUGGCCCUUCCAGCUAAGGCCCCACAAGGGGGAAAAAGAGAGCAUUUAACCCAGAACCCACCAGGUUCCUGGGACUCUCUGCCCCUGCCCUGUGCAAGGACAACAUGGGUCUUCCGGUUCUACGAACACAGCCACUGACCCAGCCGUGCACGCAGGACACGGCAGACAUGUAAUUAAUGACCCACGAAGCUUCUAACAGAGGCUCAUUCUGAGUAGCUAGUACUCUAGGGGGAGUGAAGGGAAGAUUGACUCUUGGCUGCAAGCCAUACCCAGCAUGUCACAGCCCCCAGCCCUAAAGUCUACUUGCUCCAUCCUCCUCCUUGGUCAGGGGUAUUUGGGAACCACGGGGAAGGAGCUUUAGAAACAGGAUUGCUCAAUAGAUCUGAUGCUUGGGCGUUUCGAGUUCCCAGCAAACACUUGCUUCCCAAGCCCAAGCACGUGAUCUCUAGCUCUGGAGCAGACAGGUCUAGGUCGACUUGCAUCUUUUUUUUUUUUUU
rnacentral:lncRNA from 1 species